rnacentral:sRNA from 1 species
UCACAUUCUUCUCUUCCUCUAACAUCUCUGCUCUGAAAGAAUCAGAUACAACCACAGUCUUCAAAACCUACAUCUCUGCAGACUCAGCUGCUGUCUGAUGCUGAGAUUAUAGAGCAUUCACCUCUGCUCUGCUCUGAGUGAACAGCAUCAUCAGAUGAGAUGCAUUCAAUUGUUUUAUCAAACAACAAAGAUGACUUUUGUGAUUGGUCAUAUUCUUCUCAGCCACCACCCCCACAAAAAUAAACACUCACCCGCACAUGAUGUAUCUCAGAAGAGGCAUAUCACACAUCUAGUAUUAUUAUCAGUAUAUCAACAUUGCUGAAGAAAAAGAAAAAGAAAACAAGAAUUAAAGAGAAUUACUCACAGAUUUACAGAAUUUCUCUGCAGAAACACAAGUCUUACAACACUUUCAGAUAUUUGAUUUCAACACACAUCAAAAAUCAAUGUUCUCAAGUCUAGAAACACAAUGUUCACAAGGAAUUCAACUGUUGUGUGUCACAUGAUUAGAACUAAAUCUAGAGCAAUAUAACAAGCAAACAGCAAAUGGUGCUAUACAGAAAUGAGCUAGUGGCACAUGUGACCACACUAAUAACAUCACUGACAAGGAACACCAACAAUAAUACAUGAUAAGCACUCAAGAAACAACUUACUUAAAAUUGAGAUAAUCAAAAAAGCCCAUUUCAAUAAAAAAGAAGAGGGGAGAAAGAAUGAUGAUAUAAAAAAUUUAAAAAUUUUUGGGAAUGAGAAAUCAUGGCAGAAAGGUAAGAAGCUUUGAUGAUGGUCAAGUUAAAAGAGAAAAGAAAUCUUCAAGAAGAAAGAAAUUCUUUUUGCUUCUCUGCAUACAACCUCUAGCAAUCAAAGAAUCCACCAAUUCCAUCUCAUUAAGAAAUUGAUAACAAUGUGUAUACAAGCUAUCUAGAGGACACGAAUACAAGCUAUCUAGAGAACAUGAUCAAUAUACUGCUAUCAACAAGUGGAACUUACAAUACAGAAAUGCAAUUAUCUACUAGCAAGCAAUCUAUACAAUUGCUGAGAGCAGCUCUUAUAAAAAAGAGGGGCAAUUGUAAUGCACUCAUUUAUUAUUUCCUUAUUAUCUUUGCUUAUUCUUACCUCUUUCCAUUAUACUCUCACUACCGCUAUUUCUAUAUGUAUAUAUAUAUAUCGAU